GACGAACGCUGGCGGCGUGCUUAACACAUGCAAGUCGAACGGAAAGGCCCUGCUUGCAGGGUACUCGAGUGGCGAACGGGUGAGUAACACGUGGGUGAUCUGCCCUGCACUUCGGGAUAAGCCUGGGAAACUGGGUCUAAUACCGGAUAGGAGCCAUUUUUAGUGUGAUGGUUGGAAAGUUUUUUCGGUGUAGGAUGAGCUCGCGGCCUAUCAGCUUGUUGGUGGGGUAAUGGCCUACCAAGGCGGCGACGGGUAGCCGGCCUGAGAGGGUGGACGGCCACAUUGGGACUGAGAGACGGCCCAGACUCCUACGGGAGGCAGCAGGGGGGAAUAUUGCACAAUGGGCGCAAGCCUGAUGCAGCGACGCCGCGUGGGGGAUGACGGCCUUCGGGUUGUAAACUCCUUUCGCUAGGGACGAAGCUUUUGUGACGGUACCUAGAGAAGAAGCACCGGCUAACUACGUG
rnacentral:rRNA from 1 species